GAUGAACGCUGGCGGCGUGCCUAAUACAUGCAAGUCGAGCGAAUGGAUUGAGAGCUUGCUCUUAUGAAGUUAGCGGCGGACGGGUGAGUAACACGUGGGUAACCUGCACAUAAGACUGGGAUAACUCCGGGAAACCGGGGCUCAUACCGGAUAACAUUUUGAACCGAAUGGUUCGAAAUUGAAAGGCGGCUUAGGCUGUCACUUAUGGAUGGAACCGCGUCGCAUUAGCUAGUUGGUUAGGUAACGGCUCACCAAGGCAACGGGGCGUAGCCGACCUGAGAGGGUGAUCGGCCACACUGGGACUGAGACACGGCCCAGACUCCUACGGGAGGCAGCAGUAGGGAAUCUUCCGCAAUGGACGAAAGUCUGACGGAGCAACGCCGCGUGAGUGAUGAAGGCUUUCGGGUCGUAAAACUCUGUUGUUAGGGAAGAACAAGUGCUAGUUGGAUAAGCUGGCACCUUGACGGUACCUAACCAGAAAGCCACGGCUAACUACGUGCCAGCAGCCGCGGUAA
rnacentral:rRNA from 1 species